rnacentral:misc_RNA from 1 species
AUUUGCACCUCCUCGGAUCAGGGAGGCCAUCUGGUGCGGGAGCACAAAUCCAACUACAGAAGAAGGGAAAGAACUUACUGACCCAAGAGUGUUGACUGAUGUUGGUGAUGUCCCUGUUCAAGAGAUCAGGGACUGUGGCGUAGAUGAUGAAAGAUUGAUGAAAGUUGUGAGCGAGUCUGUAAAGCUGGUGAUGGAAGAGGAUCCGCUACGCCCAUUGGUUUUAGGAGGCGACCACUCCAUAUCUUACCCUGUUGUCAGAGCAGUCUCUGAGAAGCUUGGGGGUCAAGUUGAUAUUCUUCAUCUAGAUGCCCAUCCUGAUAAUUAUGAUGCUUAUGAAGGAAACUAUUUUUCGCAUGCUUCUUCUUUUGCACGAAUUAUGGAAGGUGGUUAUGCCAGGCGGCUUUUGCAGGUUGGUAUAAGAU